UAAAAUAACCUAAAAAAAAUGAGUGAUAAUUUCUGACGCGGCCCCACCCCAACCGCUAUAACUUUUGACCCAGGGGUCAGAUCAAAAUUCCAAAUAGUGCAGGGUCGCACAUAUGCUCAUAGCUACCAUGUGUGUAAGUUUCAAGGUUCUAGUGCUUUUAGUGUAGGAGGAGAUAGUGGCCAGGACGGACGGACGGCGGAGAUAACCACAAUAUCCC